UACGUAGGGGGGCAAGCGUUGUCCGGAAUCAUUGGGCGUAAAGAGCGUGUAGGCGGCUCGGUAAGUCCGCUGUGAAAGUCCAGGGCUCAACCCUGGAAAGCCGGUGGAAACUGUCGAGCUCGAGUCCGGAAGAGGCGAGUGGAAUUCCUGGUGUAGCGGUGAAAUGCGCAGAUAUCAGGAGGAACACCAAUGGCGAAGGCAGCUCGCUGGGACGGUACUGACGCUGAGACGCGAAAGCGUGGGGAGCAAACAGG
rnacentral:rRNA from 1 species